UCGGUGCCGGUUCACGCCGCCCUUCGGGGCUUCGAUGGCGACCCGGCGCC
rnacentral:ncRNA from 1 species